AAUACAUAGGAGGUGUGACUAUUAAAUAACGAGACUGCUCGCCUAGAGAGCGCCCUAGACGGGUAGUGAAAAAAACGAGUAAUAACUUUUAUAAUAAAACACUUUUUCGUAACCAGUCUCGUUAUUUAAUAGCCAUACCUCGUAGUAUG